rnacentral:lncRNA from 1 species
CCUGAAGCCGGGGAGGGAGGCCCAGGGCGGGCUCCGCGCGUCCAGCCGCGGGUGGGUGUCUGCGCCGCUGGGGGUUCCAGAGAAUUCUCAACCGUCCCCCUCUCUCCCCCCGGGACAGCGUCUCCAUUCCAACCUGGCACGGACGCCAGGAGCUCGCGCUACGAGUCAUUUUAAAAAGAAAACACAAUUUACGUGUGAAAGUCGAGACGAGAAAGCUCGCGGGUGCCCGUUAGGAUUUGUGGGGCAGCAGACUGUGGCUUCCAGAACCGACUGUGCCCGAGGAUAAGGCCUGAACUUCAACAACCUGCAAGUGGGUUGAGCAACCCGUUUCACCGUUGAGGAGACAGAGCGCUGGCCCAGCCUGGACCCGGAGCUGAGGUUCCUGUUUCCUGGCUCACCUGGAGGCUCC